rnacentral:rRNA from 1 species
CCUACGGGAGGCAGCAGUAGGGAAUUUUGCGCAAUGGGCGAAAGCCUGACGCAGCAACGCCGCGUGAUCGAGACGCCCUUCGGGGUGUAAAGAUCUGUCAGUGGGGACGAAACUUGACGGUACCCACAGAGGAAGCACCGGCUAACUCCGUGCCAGCAGCCGCGGUAAUACGGGGGGUGCAAGCGUUGUCCGGAAUCAUUGGGCGUAAAGAGUUCGUAGGCGGCACGUAAAGUCUGGUGUUAAAGGCAGAGGCUCAACCCCGGCGAGCCGUUGAAACUGGCGGGCUGGAGUUGGAGAGAAGUACGCGGAAUGCGCGGUGUAGCGGUGAAAUGCUUAGAUAUCGCGCAGAACCCCGAUUGCGAAGGCAGCGUACCGGCUCCACACUGACGCUGAGGCACGAAAGCGUGGGUAUCGAACAGGAUUAGAUACCCCAGUAGUC